rnacentral:rRNA from 1 species
AUUGAACGCUGGCGGAAUGCUUUACACAUGCAAGUCGAACGAUGAACCUUAGCUUGCUAAGGGGAUUAGUGGCGAACGGGUGAGUAAUGUAUCGGAACGUAUCCAAUAAUUGGGGAUAACUAGUCGAAAGAUUAGCUAAUACCGCAUACGUACUACGGGAGAAAGAUAGGGACCUUCGGGCCUGGCGUUAUUGGAGCGGCCGAUAUCUGAUUAGCUAGUUGGUGGGGUAAAGGCUCACCAAGGCGACGAUCAGUAGCUGGUCUGAGAGGACGACCAGCCACACUGGAACUGAGACACGGUCCAGACUCCUACGGGAGGCAGCAGUGGGGAAUUUUGGACAAUGGGCGAAAGCCUGAUCCAGCCAUUCCGCGUGAGUGAAGAAGGCCUUCGGGUUGUAAAGCUCUUUCGCAAGGGAAGAAAACUUAAGCUCUAACAUAGCUUGAGGUUGACGGUACCUUGAUAAGAAGCACCGGCUAACUACGUGCCAGCAGCCGCGGUAA